rnacentral:rRNA from 1 species
UGCAACCUGAACUCAGGCGUGAUUACCCGCUGAACUUAAGCAUAUCACUUAGCGG